rnacentral:rRNA from 1 species
UACGUAGGGUCCAAGCGUUGUCCGGAUUUAUUGGGCGUAAAGAGCUCGUAGGCGGUUCGGUAAGUCGGAUGUGAAAACUCAGGCUCACCCGGAGACGCCAUCCGAUACUGCUGUGACUUGAGUCUGGUAGGGGAACACGGAAUUCCUGGUGUAGCGGUGAAAUGCGCAGAUAUCAGGAGGAACACCGAUGGCGAAGGCAGAUGU